AUUGAACGCUGGCGGCAGGCCUAACACAUGCAAGUCGAACGAGUGGCGGACGGGUGAGUAAUUUCUGGGAAACUUCCUGAUGGAGGGGGAUAAAUACUGGAAACGGUAGCUAAUACCGCAUACCAUCAGAUGUGCCCAGAUGGGAUUAGCUGGUUGGUGGGGUAACGGCUCACCAAGGCGACUAUCCAUAGCUGGUCUGAGAGGAUGACCAGCCACACUGGAACGGAGACACGGUCCAGACUCCUCCGGGAGGCAGCAGUGGGGAAUAUUGCACAAUGGGCGCAAGCCUGAUGCAGCCAUGCCGCGUGUAUGAAGAAGGCCUUCGGGUUGUAAAGUACUUUCAGCGGGGAGGCGUUACCCGCAGAAGAAGCACCGGCUAACUCCGUGCCAGCAGCCGCGGUAAUAC
rnacentral:rRNA from 1 species